UAGGGAAUCUUCCGCAAUGGGCGAAAGCCUGACGGAGCAACGCCGCGUGAGUGAUGAAGGUCUUCGGAUCGUAAAACUCUGUUAUUAGGGAAGAAUAAAUGUGUAAGUAACUAUGCACGUCUUGACGGUACCUAAUCAGAAAGCCACGGCUAACUACGUGCCAGCAGCCGCGGUAAUACGUAGGUGGCAAGCGUUAUCCGAAAUUAUUGGGCGUAAAGCGCGCGUAGGCGGUUUUUUAAGUCUGAUGUGAAAGCCCACGGCUCAACCGUGGAGGGUCAUUGGAAACUGGAAAACUUGAGUGCAGAAGAGGAAAGUGGAAUUCCAUGUGUAGCGGUGAAAUGCGCAGAGAUAUGGAGGAACACCAGUGGCGAAGGCGACUUUCUGGUCUGUAACUGACGCUGAUGUGCGAAAGCGUGGGGAUCAAACAGG
rnacentral:rRNA from 1 species